ACCGGCGCACGGGUGAGUAACACGUAUGGAACCUGCCCGCAGCAGGGGGAUAAGCGGAAGAAAUUCCGUCUAAUACCGCGUAACAACGUUGGGAGGCAUCUCCCGAUGUUUAAAGAUUUAUCGGCUGCGGAUGGCCAUGCGGCGCAUUAGCUAGUCGGCGGGGUAACGGCCCACCGAGGCGACGAUGCGUAGGGGUUCUGAGAGGAAGGUCCCCCACACUGGUACUGAGACACGGACCAGACUCCUACGGAAGGCAGCAG
rnacentral:rRNA from 1 species